GCGCUUGCGUCUCGGAUAAGUUAAUGCAUCCUUCUGCAGUGACACUUAUUGGAAGCCUUAGAUAACCGCCAGAAAUGGUACGGUUCCCGCGACUUUAAACAAGCAGGAUCCUAAGGGUUAGUGGUGCCGCCUCUGCUUAAUUUAUUUAAGCACGCGGUGCUGCGACACUAUCAAAUUGCGGGAAGUCCCUUAGAGCCGGCAGUACCGCUCCCUCGUCGAAAUGAUCGGGGCAGCACCAGGUUAAUGACCUCGGGUAUGGUAACAAUCUCGCCGGAUUGGGUUACCUGCAGCCAAGUCCUCCGCGGAGGGGUGGUCGUCCACGGGCGGCCGUCUUUCGCGGUCGGAUGCAGUUCACAGGCCAAAUGGUAGUGGGUGGUCCCCUUUUGUAAGGGCGAUUGCUUAAGAUAUGGUCGGGCCCCCAGGGAAAUCCUGGGGGGUGAGUUCACAAAAGAAUAAGUAACAAGAACAAACAAAAACGUUCCGUAGGUGAACCUGCGGAAGGAUCAUUACCGAGUUAGGGUUCUCUCCCGAGGCCCGACCUCCCAACCCUGUGUCUACCACCUGUGUAACGUGUUGCUUCGGCGGACCGGCAGUCCCCUUACGGGGGUCCGUCGCCGGGUGUCGCCCCUGGAGAGCGUCCGCCGAUGCCCCCAACCAAACAACGCCCAAACCCAAAUUAGCGGACCUAAAACUUCUGAAUCAAACCUUUUUGAUGUACCAAUCAAAAACAAAACUUUCAACAACGGAUCUCUUGGUUCUGGCAUCGAUGAAGAACGCAGCGAAAUGCGAUAAGUAAUGCGAAUUGCAGAAUUUCCGUGAGUCAUCGAAUCUUUGAACGCACAUUGCGCCCUUUGGCAUUCCGAAGGGCAUGCCUGUUCGAGCGUCAUUAUCCUCUCUCAAACCUCGGGUUUGGUG
rnacentral:rRNA from 1 species